AGUUUGGUGGCUUAGUUUUUAGAGCGUCCGCCUCCGAUGCGGAAGUCGCUGUUUCGAACCCUGGCCGAGUCA